UCCUUGGUGGUCCAGUGGUUAGGACUAUGCACUCCCAAUGCAGGGAGCCCAGGUUCGAUCCCUAGUCAGGGAA
rnacentral:tRNA from 1 species